rnacentral:rRNA from 1 species
UACGAAGGGGGCUAGCGUUGCUCGGAAUCACUGGGCGUAAAGCGCACGUAGGCGGAUUGCUAAGUCAGGGGUGAAAUCCUGGAGCUCGACUCCAGAACUGCCCUUGAUACUGGCGGUCUCGAGUCCGGGAGAGGUGAGUGGAACUGCGAGUGUAGAGGUGAAAUUCGUAGAUAUUCGCAAGAACACCAGUGGCGAAGGCGGCUCACUGGCCCGGUACUGACGCUGAGGUGCGAAAGCGUGGGGAGCAAACAGG